AUUGAACGCUAGCGGUAGGCUUUACAAAUGCAAGUCGAACGAGUGGCGGACGGGUGGGUAAUAUAUCGGAACGUGCCCAGUAGCGGGGGAUAACUACUGGAAAGAGUGGCUAAUACCGCAUACUAUUGGAGCGGCCGAUAUCGGAUUAGCUUGUUGGUGGGGUAAAGGCUCACCAAGGCAACGAUCCGUAGCUGGUUUGAGGGGACGACCAGCCAAACCGGGACAGAGACAAGGCCCAGGCUCCUGAGGGAGGCAGGAGGGGGGGAAUAUGGACAAUUGGGGAAACCCUGAUCCAGCCAUCCCGCUUGUAUUAGGAGGCCUUCGGGUUGUAAAAGCCUUUUGGCCGGGAAGCGGUAUCUGCAGAAUAAGCACCGGCUCACUACGGUCCAGGAGCCGCGGUAAUUA
rnacentral:rRNA from 1 species